rnacentral:tRNA from 1 species
GCCGGUUUGGCUCAGUGGAUAGAGCAUCAGCCUGUGGACUGAAAGGUCCUGGGUUCGAUUCCCGGUCAGGGCA